rnacentral:tRNA from 1 species
GGGUCCGUAGCGCAGAGGUAGACGCGCCGCCUUCGCAAGGCGGAUCACGCCGGUUCGAAUCCGGUCGGGCCCG